GACGUAGGAGGCGAGCGUUAUCCGGAUUCACUGGGCGUAAAGCGCAUGUAGGCGGUUUGUCAAGUCCGUUGUUAAAGCCCCCGGCUCAACUGGGGGAGGUCAAUGGAGACUGGCAGACUUGAGGGCAACAGAGGCACAUGGAACUCCCGGUGUAGCGGUGGAAUGCGUAGAGAUCGGGAAGAACACCCGUGGCGAAGGCGGUGUGCUGGGUUGCAACUGACGCUGAGAUGCGAAAGCUAGGGGAGCGAACGGG
rnacentral:rRNA from 1 species